rnacentral:rRNA from 1 species
CUGCCCAUUGGGAACUAAAAGGCCGCGGUAUUAUGACCGUGCGAAGGUAGCAUAAUCAUUAGUCUUUUAAUUGGAGGCUGGAAUGAAUGGUCGGACGAGAAGUGAGCUGUCUUUAUCUCAAAAGUUGAAUUUAACUUUUAAGUGAAAAGGCUUAAAUGAGUUAGAGGGACGAUAAGACCCUAUAAAGUUUGAACACCGGGUUUGUUAAGAGUGAUUUAGAAUAGUAAAGUUUGUUACUAGUAAAGUGUUUGGUUGGGGCGACUAGAAUAUAAGUUAUAUAACUGUUUUUUAUUUGAAUCAGAGAUAUCUGUUUAUAUGAUCCCUUUUUAGGAUUAAAGAGUAAAUUACUUUAGGGAUAACAGCGUAAUUUUUUUUGAGAGUUCUUAUCGACAAAAGAGUUUGCGACCUCGAUGUUGAAUUAAAAUUUCUUUGUGGUGUAGCAGUUACAAAAGAAGGUCUGUUCGACCUUUAAAUUUUUAC